AGCCUUGUUUACACAAUUUGUUCCCAACACAGUACAGCAUCAGUACAGUGACCACCUUCCCAUCUAUGUGUUCUAGGAACAGAGAGCACAGCGUGCCCCGCCUGGCCAAAGCACCAGAUAUGCAGCCCAGCACACCUACCAGAAAUGUGUUUCAUUUUCUCUACAGUUUUUCCAUUCAGGAGAGAAAAAGAUCAAACAUUUUGGAGUUGGCAAGAGGCUGGAAAUUGACUCCUGAUUCUGUGACCUUGAGCUUCAUGAAGAAACUGAAAACUAUAUAAAGCGGAGAAGGUGAGCUCCCUGGGCAAGAACUGGCACCGCUUCUGCCUGAAAUGUGAGCACUGCCACAGUGUCCUGUCCCCAGGAGGGCAUGCAGAGGUGAGACCUAUCUGGGGCACACCACCCUAUGUCUGUUACUGUCCCCCAGGCACCAGCCCCACUGUGGCCCUGUCAGCUCACCAAAGGCAACCUCAGUGCCAACUCCCAAAACCACUUCCAGGGUGGGCCCCACACCAGCCAGGAUUUGGGGACCCUGAGUAGUACUGGUGAGCCCCAUGCCAUUUGAGGGGGAGGAGAAGGCAGCAGCACUGCUUCCUGAUCUGCUCUUGCCCUUUUCCCCUGACCACAGCGGCAAUUCUGGCAUGCCAGCCCACCCUUGCCCCUCCCAGCCCCACCAGCCCAGGCCAGUAGGCAGACACCUGGCAGUGUGUUUGGUAGGAAGACCUGUGAGGCACAGGAGAAGCCCCCUUAUCCCUGAGCAACCCCUUUUCUUCUGCUUGUGCCUAGCACAAUGGGAGGCCGUAUUGCCACAAGCCAUGCUAUGGGAUUCUCUUCGGACCCAGUGGGGUGAACAUUGGUGGUGUGGGCUCCUACCUCUACAACUCUCCCAUUCUCACCCGUGCCAACACCACCCCCCUUGACCCCAGCAGUUUCAGCCCCCCAAGACCCAGGACUGGCCUCCCCCAGCGCAAGAAAAGUAAGUGAGGCUGAGCCCCCUCCUUCUGAUCCUUCCUAGGCUGGGGAACGGGGUGGAAGCAGGUAGCAGUCUCUCACAUAGUCCUAUGCCUCACAUUCCUACAACUUUGUUCAUGGCAAAAUCUUCCAUUAUCCAAGACCAGUUUUUUUAUGUUUCCUCAUGUCAGCUGCUGAGCUCAUAGGUAAAGUGGGCAAAUGGCAUUACCACCCCCAUUUUAUAGGUGAGGAAACUGAGGUCAGAGAGGGCAAGUGACCUUGUGUAGUCACAGCCAGUCAGAGGCAAAGCUAGCCUGGAAGUCAGGCUUUCCCAGGCAAGACCAUGGAAGGAAUGACUUACGAGGAGUCAUCGAGACAGGCCAGUCCCUCACAUUCUUCCACUGCUCCCCUCUGUUACUUUCUCCUGUCCCCUAUAGUGGGCAGUGACACCGUGCUCCCCAAACACCUGACACCCCUGCCCUGGGCAGCUCUUAUAUCAGCUCAGGUUUCCUGAGGAUUGAGUUGCUGACAGGGUUGGGCUGGUGGGCACCUGAACCCCUGAGAGGACGAGAAGGAAGUAGGUGGUCCCUCCUGCAGAUAGGGAUGGGACAGGGGGUGGGAUCAGAGGGGACUCAGCUCUGUCUGAGGUAGGCAUACUUAUGGCCACCUGAUGGGAAGCUCUGGAGUGAGCAUGGCUUUGGGAAGAGGACAGUGCCAUAUGCAGACUGGUGCUAGAGGGCCCUACUUAGGCCUGGCCUCCACCUCAGCCCUAGCCAGGGCUUCUUCCCCUUAAAGGCCCUUCCCACAUGAAGACAUUCACUGGGGAGACCUCGUUGUGCCCUGGCUGUGAGGAACCUGUCUAUUUUGGUAAGUGACAAGAGAAAGUGAAAGGAGGGGAGUACAAGGUGGGCAUCAAAGGGCAGGGAGGUGGUGCAAGGGUCCCUGCCCUGCCCCUAGGGUUACUAACUCUCUCCACCACCAGCUGAGAAGGUGAUGUCUUUGGGCAGAAAUUGGCACCGACCCUGUCUGAGGUGCCAGCGCUGCCGGAAGACCCUGACUGCUGGGAGUCAUGCUGAGGUGUGAACAUUGGUGAUGUGGGCUGCUACAUCUAUGACCCCGUGGAGAUAAAAUCCAAAUGAGAUGCUUACAGAAGUCACCCUAACUCAGGCCUCCCAUCGUCCCCUCCAUGAUCCAAUGGGAGCUACAGAAUUCUUCAAUCCCUUAGAGGUAGGGGAGGAUGGGAUUCUGGCAGUGUGGGCCUCAGCUCCAUAGCAGACCAGAAAGUCUAGACUUUCUCUGCCAACUCCUCCCUUUCUCAUUCCUAUCUGCUCAGGGGAACUGGUCCACCCCAUUUUGAAUGUUGGCCUCUUGUCCUUUCCAAUUCCUUUCCCCAGCAAAUUCUAUAACUUCAAGGUACUCAUAAAACUUGUGUUUAUUCAGCCUUCUCCAAUAAAAUGUUGGCUCCCA